CUAUCUUCAACCACUUCAUAUUUCUUACAAACAAGUUUUUGUACUAUAAAAUUAAUUGUAAUUUAUACCCUACAUAUUUGUGUGGCAGUACACAUCUCGUUUGAAUUUAAAACAUUCUAUCAAUAUUAUCUUAUUUUUGAAUAUGUUAGACAAAAGUGAGUUAUAUUUGAUACCUCUUUUAGUAGAAGAUGCAUGCACAACUUGGAACAUACCCCCCAUGUAAUUAGGUACAGCCUAACCUUCCCUUACAUUCCCCUUCUCCAUAUCCUGUCUUGAGCUCCAAAUUUACGUAUUGUUAGAUUAUAAAAGAAUCUGUUUUAUUAAGACAAAUUAGGAAAUCUUGUAAAAUAUCUUAUGAUUAAUUUUUAUAUUUUCUUAUUUUAUAAUUUUCUUAAUAAAUAAAUGAAAAUUGAUAUCUAGGACAGUGUUUUAUCUUUUCUAAUAAUAUCUAAUAUAUAUUAAUAAAUAAAUGAAAAUUGAUAUCUAGGACAGUGUUUUAUCUUUUCUAAUAAUAUCUAAUAUAUAACAAAAUUGUCUUAAAUUUAAAAGAGUUUUGUGUAGAAAUUUUAAUUUGUUUCAUUCAAGAAGUAAGGUAUAAGUGAUGGAGUGAUAUAAGGAAGCUAAGUCACUAUUGAUCAAAUCUCCGACGUGAGAGUAGAGACUUUCGGUGUGGUGAAUAGGGAAUUAAUCUAUAAAGAUAACAUUCUAGAUCCAAUUUUGUGAUUGAAUGAAAAGUAAUUUGUAAUUGAGAGUUAAUUGAAUAUUUGAAAUGACGUGAUAUUGUCUUUAAUAACACGAGUAAAUAAAAUCGUAUGUGUGAUUUGAUACUUUGUCCAACUUAUCGUUCAAUUUCUACUGUGAAAAAUGUGAUAGAGGGUCUGAUCGAGUGUCUUCGAAAGAGAUGAUGGUUUAUCUAUUUCGUGUAUCUUUGUUUUCAUAAUUUAUAAUUGAAUAUUUUUUUGUACAUCUUGCAUAUAAUUUAAUCAUGUACCUACCGUUGGAAUUAUUAUAAAAAAAAAUUGUGAAAAAAUUACUAUUGCAUCUAAAAAAUUUGUAAAGAAGUUUAUAUUCACAAUUUUUUCUUUUGAAUAAAUUUUAUAUUUUCUUAAAAACACAAAACUUUUUUUCAAACAAGAUAUCCAGACCCUAGCCGUAGGAUCUGUCUGAACAGAGGAAG
rnacentral:lncRNA from 1 species